AGAGCGAACGCUGGCGGCAGGCUUAACACAUGCAAGUCGAGCGGGCGUAGCAAUACGUCAGCGGCAGACGGGUGAGUAACGCGUGGGAACAUACCUUUGGUUCGGAACAACCCAGGGAAACUUGGGCUAAUACCGGAUAAGCCCUUAUGGGGAAAGAUUUAUCGCCGAAAGAUUGGCCCGCGUCUGAUUAGCUAGUUGGUGAGGUAACGGCUCACCAAGGCGACGAUCAGUAGCUGGUCUGAGAGGAUGAUCAGCCACAUUGGGACUGAGACACGGCCCAAACUCCUACGGGAGGCAGCAGUGGGGAAUAUUGGACAAUGGGCGCAAGCCUGAUCCAGCCAUGCCGCGUGAGUGAUGAAGGCCCUAGGGUUGUAAAGCUCUUUUGUGCGGGAAGAUAAUGACGGUACCGCAAGAAUAAGCCCCGGCUAACUUCGUGCCAGCAGCCGC
rnacentral:rRNA from 1 species